rnacentral:rRNA from 1 species
GAUGAACGCUAGCGGCAGGCCUAAUACAUGCAAGUCGGACGGGAUUCAGGAGCUUGCUUCUGAUGAGAGUGGCGCACGGGUGCGUAACACGUAUGUAACCUACCUUUAUCAGGGGGAUAGCCUCUCGGAAGAGAGAUUAAGCCCGCAUAAAAUCACAGCACAGCAUUGUGUAAUGAUCAAAUAUUUAUAGGAUAAAGAUGGGCAUGCGGAACAUUAGCUAGAUGGCGGGGUAACGGCCCACCAUGGCGACGAGGUUUAGGGGAUCUGAGAGGAUGGCCCCCCACAAUGGUGCUGAGACACGGACCAGACUCCUACGGGAGGCAGCAGUAAGGUAUAUUGGUCGCUGGGCGGAAGCCUGAACCAGCCAUGCCGCGUGCAGGAAGACGGCCCUACGGGUUGUAAACUGCUUUUAUACGGGAAUAAACCCAGAUACGUGUAUCCGGCUGACUGUACUGUAAGAAUAAGGAUCGGCUAACUCCGUG